AACGAACGCUGGCGGCACGCCUAACACAUGCAAGUCGAACGAAGCCUUCGGGCUUAGUGGCGCACGGGUGCGUAACGCGUGGGAAUCUGCCCUUGGGUUCGGAAUAACAGUUAGAAAUGACUGCUAAUACCGAAUGAUGUCUUCGGACCAAAGAUUUAUCGCCCAAGGAUGAGCCCGCGUCGGAUUAGCUAGUUGGUGAGGUAAAGGCUCACCAAGGCGACGAUCCGUAGCUGGUCUGAGAGGAUGAUCAGCCACACUGGGACUGAGACACGGCCCAGACUCCUACGGGAGGCAGCAGUGGGGAAUAUUGGACAAUGGGCGAAAGCCUGAUCCAGCAAUGCCGCGUGAGUGAUGAAGGCCUUAGGGUUGUAAAGCUCUUUUACCCGGGAUGAUAAUGACAGUACCGGGAGAAUAAGCCCCGGCUAACUCCGUGCCAGCAGCCGCGGU
rnacentral:rRNA from 1 species